UACGAAGGGGGCUAGCGUUGCUCGGAAUCACUGGGCGUAAAGCGCACGUAGGCGGAUCUUUAAGUCAGGGGUGAAAUCCCAAGGCUCAACCUUGGAACUGCCUUUGAUACUGGGGAUCUCGAGUCCGGAAGAGGUGAGUGGAACUGCGAGUGUAGAGGUGAAAUUCGUAGACAUUCGCAAGAACACCAGUGGCGAAGGCGGCUCACUGGUCCGGUACUGACGCUGAGGUGCGAAAGCGUGGGGAGCAAACAGG
rnacentral:rRNA from 1 species